rnacentral:tRNA from 1 species
UGUAAAAUAAGCUAAGUAUAAGCUCUUGGGUUCAUACCCCAAAUAUGAAUGUAUUAUUCUUUUACAG